ACGGCGUCAGGUGUCAGGUCUCGUACAAAUAGGCAUCAAACGAAACAGCCUCAGACCAAAGGCAUCAGACGAAACGGACUUAGAAAGAGUGUAGAAAUCAUAUGUUUCUGUGUUCAAGUGUUUGUUGAGUUGAGGUGAUGGAGUGAUUGAUCUGUAAAUGAUUGAACACAUGAGCUGCUCCUCAGUAAGGAGAUACGAUCAACAUUUAACACUCUUUACUUUAAACACACUCAAUCUAGUGUUGUCAGUUUCUGACCUGAAUACUGCUGUUAGACCCACCUGAAAAAAUAAAGCAGUCCAUUUCAUUUCCAUCUUUAUUCUGUUGUAUUUAUCUGUGCUAUUGUUCAUUUCUUCUUAUUUCAUUACUAUAUUCUUGUCUGUUUUAAUUCACUUUACCAUUUGAAAUCAAGCUUGUGCUGUGUGUGUAAGAUAUUGCUACAAAAUUACCCCAAAAACUAAUACAUUGAGUUACAAAUAUUUGUGAGAUAAUUGUAAUAAUUGAUCAACGUUUAUGUAUGAAAAAAUCUUAAAAGCUUUAUCAUAUAAAGUGAUCUCUUCAGAAGAGUUUUUGAUUGGAUAGACUUUCAAUAUAUGGAUAAAAAAUAAAUAAUAUGAAAAAUAUGACAGUAUAUACAGUGUUUUUCCCUGUGGUGUCGAAAAUGCUAUUGAAUAUUGAGACUUUUCAAGGUUUCGUAUGGAAGUUAUAAAUUCCAGUAUCGUGACAACACUAGUCAGGACUUUGAUACAUGAAGAACAAGAAUCAUUAAUGACCGUCACAUCCAUCUCUUUUCUGUGAUCAUCUUUACAUGUUAUUUAAUGUGAUAUAAAUUAUUUGUUAUAUUUGUUUUUAUAUAAGCUUUCCCUUUCAGACAAACACACACAAAUAACAUGGUAAAUCUCACAUUAAACAUGGUGAUCUGUGCUUUUUUAAAUAAUGAAGUCUCUGUUGAUGUGAGAGAGUGAAGAGUGUGUCAUUGUUCUCUACAGGUUGAGGAAGUGUGGUGUCACAGAUGAAGGUGGUGCUGCUCUGGCUUCAGCUCUGAGAUCAAACCCCUCACACCUGAGAGAACUGGAUCUGAAUUGGAAUAAACUAACACAGUCAGGAGUGAAGCUGCUGAAGGAUCUGGAGGAUGAUCCACAUUAUAAACUGAAGAUACUAAGGUUUAGAUGACAGUCUGAUCUUCUGAUGAUCAUCUGAUGGUGAAUAAGGAUCCACUACAGAGACUCACAGUCAACAGAAUCAGAGACUGAAGAUACAGUGACUUCACUGUUAUAAAUUAAGACUUCAUUCAGAUUUCAAUGAUCCUCUGACAGACAUGAUGAGGCGGCAGAGAAACACCUUUUAUUUCACAGCAGCAAAUUACAGUUUCUCAUUCAGAGAUUAACCAUUUUAUUUGUAUAAAGGCACAGAAUAAACUCAGAGUUUGUUACAGAGAAAAUAUAGAGCCUGAAUAUGUUUGUGUUUGUGUUGUACCAGCAGAGGGAGACAAAUUUUUUUAUUGAUUUCUCAUAAUUAUGGGGAAAAAAAGUUCAAGCUCAUUAUUGGAAAACAAACAGCUUGAGAGUAUAAAUCAUGUUUUUAAUAAUAGUUGUAUUAUAUUUAUAUUAUUGAAUUAAUUUGUAUUAUUUGUAUUAAAGGAGUCAUGUGAUGUGUUUUCAUGUUUUCCCUUUAGUGUGUUAUGUAGCUUCCUCCUCUUUUUUUCAGCGCACAUAAAAACCAAAAUUACCAAA